GGCGGGGGGGUUGGGGGACCCUCAGCCUGGAAUGUAAGAGGGCACAGACCAGGCUGAGGGACCCCACCGAUGCACG
rnacentral:pre_miRNA from 1 species